rnacentral:rRNA from 1 species
GACGAACGCUGGCGGCGUGCUUAACACAUGCAAGUCGAACGGUAAGGCCCUUCGGGGUACACGAGUGGCGAACGGGUGAGUAACACGUGGGUGAUCUGCCCUGCACUUCGGGAUAAGCCUGGGAAACUGGGUCUAAUACCGGAUAGGACUCCGGACUGCAUGGUCUGGGGUGGAAAGCUUUGGCGGUGUGGGAGUGGGCCCGCGGCCUAUCAGCUUGUCGGUGGGGUGAUGGCCUACCAGGGCGACGGCGGGUAGCCGGCCUGAGAGGGUGACGGGCCACACUGGGGCUGAGAUACGGCCCAGACUCCUACGGGAGGCAGCAGUGGGGAAUAUUGCACAAUGGGCGCAAGCCUGAUGCAGCGACGCCGCGUGAGGGAUGACGGCCUUCGGGUUGUAAACCUCUUUCAGCAUCGACGAAGCGAAAGUGACGGUAGGUGCAGAAGAAGGACCGGCCAACUACGUGCCAGCAGCCGCAGUAA